UGUCUGACUUUUAGUUUUUUUACUGUGCAGGAUGUUUAAAUAUUGCUUCUUUCUUGCGUGCUUAAUGGAAGAACCCUACAGAUCAUCUCUGGAUUUCCAGCAAGUGAACCCCUGGACUGACGACGUGAUGAUCAUGGGCCUGGAAAUAUCUGUCGCCUGACGUGAGCAAUGAGCCGGAAAACCGAUCAGAAAUCAUCGAUGCACAUCAUGGGAGUUUGGGCCGGUCUCAGCAACGCCUUUUGGUUUGGUUGGGUUCCAUCUGGCUGGCUACAGAUGUUUUGGAUGGAGUCCGUAGCCGCAAGAACAGCACAGACCAUGGCAUCAUGCGUUCCAGCACAGUUUUGGCAGAUUAAAAAUGGGGUGAAAUGGUGAAUGUGGUUUCUAGUGUUGUGACUUGUGAGGAUAGGAACAUUUUGGGGGCUGAACAUUUUGGGGGCUAGCAGGAGCUCAGGACAAUGUGGAUAGUGUUGUCUGCUACUGCUCACGAGGUCAGAUUUACGUUUUCUGGUGUCAAUAAUGGGGUUCUCUACGUCGACUAUGGCGGCCGAGGGCGGCGUGGCCUGACCGAUCUGACUUUGGCCACCUUUGCUCGGGUGGUAGCGUAGAGCGUUUUGCUCUGACUUUGUUUUUUUCUUUUCCUAUACAAGUAUACAUGGUUUUGGAUUUCAGACUUUCAGAGAUUACUACUACUAUCUUGUCAGUAAGCUGCUCGUCAUUUGGCUGCAUGGUUGUACCAACCGUAUGCCAAAGUCUACUGGAGUUUCACUGGUAUUAUUAUUGCACUCAGAAAGUACUAAUCUUUAACAUUUACAGCAGAAAGCACCAAACAUGGAAGAACUGCACUCGCUAAGGAUCUAAGGUUGCAUGAACAGCAGUAUGCACAGCACGAUCCUGCAGAAUGUUGGUUGAAGAAGCAUCCAUCCAUCCUUGUUUGAGACUUUCAGUUGUCUCUACGUUGCCUCAACUGGUGAGAGGACCUCCAGCUCUGCCCACCAGAGUGGAGACAGUCUCGGCGUUGCUGCAUCCGGUGAAAUGGCGAUGGCCUCUCUCAGCCUUGUGGUGAUCUCCCUCAUGCUUGGUCUCUUCUUCGGGUCACUCUGUAUGCAGUCAAGGAUUAUCUGACAAAUCAAAUCUAGCUCGUUUUCUUUAUGCGACUCCAGUUUUGGAUCAAGCAACGAAGCUAUACUUCGGCCUUUGAUGAUGCACCCCAAAGCCUACUGCUGUCAUUACCAGAUUCACUAGGGAACCCUCGUUUUCAGAGUAUGGGAGCUUCCCUGAGAUGAUUUCAAGCAGCAGUAUACCAAAAC